rnacentral:tRNA from 1 species
GCCGACGUAGCUCAGGGGUAGAGCAGGGGUUUUGUAAACCUCUGGUCGGGGGUUCAAAUCCCUCCGUCGGCU